GCAUGAUGGGAAGAAGCAGCCUGACCUUUGUUGGGAAAAGUUAGAUUUUAACAUGGAGGCUGCUAUCCCAUGUGGCAGCCAUCUUAAGGCAAGGGAAAUGUAACAUUCCAGGCUUUUUGUUUAUGGUUACUGGGCAAAGGCCUCUUCUUCUGGAGCUGCUUCAAGCUGACAAAGGGGAGAAGGCUGGCUAUGGAAGAGGCAGUUGUAUCUAUGACUCAGGAUGAAGUCUGGGGAUUCCAGUGUCUCACUGGGCAUCGGAAAUUCCUGACUGGUGAACACCCUUCAAGUAGUGGGAUAUCAAUUAUUCAAUGCUCUUGCUCUUGGCUCCUGUGAGAAAGGAAGAGUGAAUCUACAGAGACACAUUGAAAUCAGGCCAACUCCGGUGGCCUGCAGGGAGAAAUGCAACAGUGGAACCGUAGCAGUGGAUGUUGUGCUACAACAGCUGAACAACAAAAACCUGGUGACUGCCCUGAGGUGCCUAGAGGACAAUUUGGGAUUUGUGCUGAAGCUUGCUCAGGAGAUC